UAAUAUUUUGGUAAUAUUAACCCAAUCGCCAAUCAAUCACAAAUCAUUUUCAUCAAAAUGUACUUCAAACUAGGUUGUAUUGUCUUGAUCUCAUUUGUUUCAGUUAACACUGCUUCAAAUUUGAGAAUCAUUGGGGGCGAACCGGCAGAUAUAAAAGACUAUCCAUACAUAGUGAGCUUCCAUGACGAAUAUGAAUUAUUGUGUGGCGGGUCUAUUUUGGAUGAAUACACCAUUCUUACUGCAGCACAUUGUGUUAUUGAUUUGUAAGUGAUAUACAAACCUAUUGGCAUAUUCAUCUGUACUCAAUUCAUGUAGCACAAUGAUUGAAAAAUGAAGUACAAAGAUCA